CGUGCGGUGGGAGCUGCCCCAGGUCCCCGUCCCUGCCCCUCGAAGCAUCCACAAAACCAGCCAGGAUGGUGGCACCCCAGCCCCAGCCAGCCCCCCACAGGAAAAGGUACAGGAAGAGCAUGCAGGCCCUGGAGGACACCACCAAGGAAAUGGGAGUCCCGCAGGGGUGGGGACGGGGACAGGGUGGGACAUCCUGCCUUCCCCCAGGCCAGUGCCAGGCCCACACUGGAGGUAGAGGUUGGUGGGUGGGAGGAGUAGGCCCCGCCUCAGCCGCUGGGUGGGCAGUGAGGAGACUCGUCCUGCCCCCAGAGGGGAGGCCAGCCCCUGUUGUGUCUCACCCUAGAGCUCCCCUUCCCCCCUCUCUAGAUCAAGACCCUGGACAAGGCAGGGGUGCUGCAUUGUACCCGGACUGCGGACAAGGGAAAGCGGCUCCGGAAGAAGCACUGGAGCACCUCCUGGACAGUGCUGGAGGGUGGUGUCUUGACCUUCUUCAAGGACUGCAAGACCUCAGCUGCAGGCAGCCUGAGACAGCAGCCUUCUAAACUCUCCACCCCGGAGUACACAGUGGAGCUGAAGGCGGCCUCUCUUUCCUGGGCCCCCAAGGACAAAUCCAGCAAGAAGAAUGUGCUGGAGGUGAGCGGCGGGCAGGAGGAGGGGCCUUCCCCAUAGUCAGCGCCAGGAAGGAGGAGCUGGGGGAGUGCGGCUGGAAUUCUUGGGGCACUAGGCCGAAGCUGCCCAUCCUGGGGCAGUGUCCCAGGCGCUGAGGGCUGUGAAAAGCAGACGUUUCUGGGAAAAUAAGCUGUCAUGCCUAGAACUGCACGCUACUCCAGCUGCUGGGCAGGAACACCUGCUCUUCCCAACUACAGCCAGCUUCUGAUUGGACUGGGUCCCCGUUAAAAAACCAGGGCAGGACAGGCUUUCACAGCUCCCCAGCAAUAAGAAUGGGAAGACCCAGGGGAGAGCAUCACAGUCCCACACCCUUCCCUGAUCCCAUUUUUCUGGUCUCCUUUUCAAUCCACUCUGUCCACACCUUAGUCCCAGAAAACCAUGCAGCAGAUUUUAACAAAAAUGCCUGUAAUCCCAGCACUGGGAAGGCUGAGGCAGGAGGAUUGCAGGUUCAAGGCCAGCCUGACCUAGAGAGCUCAAGGCUGACUUGUACUACAUAGUGAGACCUUGUCUCAAAAAUAAGUAAACACCUGUGCAUGGAAAACUGGUAAAAUCCCCUGAAAAGCCAGGACCAGGAAAAUCAAGUUAGAUGUGCAAGUCAAGAUGGAGAGACACUGGGGCAGGUGAUGACCAGGUGCUAAGGUGGCUGAUGGAAAACAGCUCAUUUCUCUGGCAGCUGAGAUGAAGAUAAGGGUAUCAGUGACGUGGCUUCUUGUUGUGCUAGAGGUCCCUACCCAGCUCUGCAGGGCAUGCCAGUUCCUUCCUCUCCUUUUGUUCUUAAGGAAAUUCCUAGCAUGUUAGUUCAGCGAACACCGGUUCUAGGGGAUGAGGCCAGGGCCCUGCCACCAAGCGCCCUGGAGGGUGACAGGGCCUCAUGCUGUCCAGGUAGCUUAUUAUGAAAGGAGCAAAGCCUGGCCUCAAAUCUCAGCUCAGAAAGACCAGCUCUUCAAGGGGCCUAAGUGCUAUGUUUUCUAGUGCUUCGCCAAGCGUUGUCCGGUUCCAGAGCCAGGGUGUGCAGAGCAGCAGUGGACACCCAGUUUUAUACCUGAGUUACUCUGAUCCGUCAUCGGGACCCUUCUUGGACCUUGGCAGAGUGGAGUUUCCAUAAGUUGCCAUGUCUGCCACGGUGCCAGAAUAGGCCAGGACAUCACCUUUGCUAGCCACAGUGCUGCCCAUAUUUGAGGGCUGUCCUUCAAACUAUUCCCUAUCAUGGCUUUUUUUUUUUUUUUUUUUUUUUGGUGAAGGGGUUAGGGUUUUUGAGACAGCGUCUGGCUACGUCAUAGUCCAGACUAGGUUUGAACUCACUGUGUAGCACUGGCUGGCCGCAGACUCAUGGUGAUCCUCUUGUCUCAGCCACCACACCAGGCCGGUUGUCUUUGGAGAUGUCUGAAGGUUGGUGGUGCCUUUGGAAGCUUAGCCUGUGGGCGACUCAGGGUUUUCCCCAGCACAGAGACUGGGCAGCUUCUCGGGGUCCAGGGUGCCACUGCAGCACCACAGAUACUCAGCAGCAUUCCUCGACUCGGGAGCCUGCUUCCAACAUGGGCCUUCCGCACUUCGAGGCCGUGUGACUAGGCAGCUGUGGGUCGAGAACGUGAGCUGCCGGAGAUAAUGGUUGUUGUCUGCGAAGGUUUUAGCCCCUUCUCUCCAGUCACGGGUGGGGUGGGGUGGCUGACUGUCCAGGGCGGCUCCAUGUCUGGCUGACUGAUGCUGGGUGGACUGGCGUGUGGGCAGGGUGGGGACAUAGGCUGGAAAAGCCGAGGCAGCCCAGGGUCCCCAGCAUGCAGGACCUCUUGCUCUCCCCAAGGGGAGGUGCUGCCUGCAGACCUCUCCUCCCUCAAGGCUGUGCGCCACCUGCUGAGACAGGGCCAGGCUCACCCACCCUAGGGGGCAGGCACCAGUUAUGUCCCCCUCUGCACCCCACACCACAGCGGUGGGCUCCGACAGUGACCCACUGACUUGUGUCCCUCCAGCUGCGGAGCCGCGAUGGCUCUGAGUACCUGAUACAGCACGACUCGGAGGGUGUCAUCAGCGCCUGGCACAAGGCCAUCGCACAGGGCAUCGAGGACCAGGUACGCAGAGCUCCAGACUCCUGGGGACCUGCCCUGCAUGGCACCCCUGAGGGUGGCCUCUCACGGGGGCUCUGCAGAUGUGGGCAUCUCCCACUUCAAGGGAGGCAGGAAGAAAAGUAGGUAUACUUAGAACUCAGGCCAGACCAACAGAGAAGAUAAAAAAGAUUGAAUUCAAGUCAACCAUUUUUAGAUUCAGAGAUACCAAUUACAUAAGCAGAGAUGGUGACCCUUCGCACCUAUUCACCUGGCAUGACCUUGGGUGUUUGAGCCAACUUUGGGUGCAGCUUUGGGCUGUAUUGUCAGAAGGGGAAUUCAGGUGUGGAGGUGAUGGUAGUGCAGCUGCCGAUGGUGUGCUGGCUGCUGCCAGAGCCAAUCUGGAGGAGUCUGCAGGUGCUGAGGAAGAAUCGGGAAGAGAGGCCAGGAGGGGAGAGGGUUGGAGCCCAGGGUGCCUGAGGGCCCGCGGCAGCCAGGGGAGGUGACAUCCUGAUGGGGCUGGGUAGGGGGGAUCGGCGGGGGGGGG
rnacentral:lncRNA from 1 species